rnacentral:lncRNA from 1 species
GAAGGAAUGUGGAGAGGGACACUAACAUUAAAGUCCUUUGAAAAGCCAUAGGAAAACCUAUUGUAGAAGCUUCCUAAAAUAUAUACAUAUGUAAAAGCAAUAUAAAUGGAGCCCUCAUAUAAUGAAGAAGACAAUACACCAAGCAGACAUCGUAUACCCCCCAAUAAAACCUGCAAUACCAGGAGUGGGUUACAUCUUUUUAGGUUAUUGGCCAAAAGGAAUUCUGCAUGUAUGUCUGUAUAAGGUUGUCAGACUCCCUGGAACUGGAGUCGCAGACAGCUGUGAACUGCCAUGUGAGUGCUGGAAACCCAAUUCAGGUCCUCUGAAGGACCAGCAAGCACUCCCACCACUAAGGCAUCUCUC